rnacentral:lncRNA from 1 species
AUCAUCUCCUGAAGAUGCUAGCACCGUUCCUGUUAUAUUCCAACUCACUCGCCAGACCUGAGAAUUAUGAUUAUCGAACUGAGCCACUAUAUGGAUUUCAAACUUUGUUGGCCCACCAGAGGACCAGGCAAUUAUUAAGUGUUUUCCGAAAGUGAUGUUGCUUUGCAAAAUGUUUUAAAAUAAAUUGGGCAGUGCGGGAAUUACUUCUGUGACAUCAUCUAUGUUAUGCUGCCAGUAAAUGUUCUGGAAAACUCUGCUCCAGAAAAGCUAUGUCUGAAUGAGAGAAGUCAGUUUUCCAAACUAAUUCUCACCAACUCCU